GGCAGGUAAGCUUCAUGAAGAUGAAAUGUUUAUCUACUUCCGUUUUGUUCACUGGUAUAUCUCCAAGUGCCCAAGGAUUGCCUGUCUCCCAGUAGAUGUCCAGUAAGCAUUUGCUGCGUGAAUGAGUGAAAUUUACUCAGCAGGACAACUCCUACCCUCGUUGCUUGCUCUUUAGCCCCAGGAAAGCAUCCCCAUACAAACAAACCCAUAAGAGGGACCCUGGGCCUUUCAGCUCAGGUUUCUCCAGGAUACUCAAUGGGACCGUCGCUGCGUGGGAAAAGCACAGACGUGAGAGUCAAACCCGCUAGGACUGGAUUCUAGUUCUACCCCUGCCCAGCUUCAGGACUGCAGGUGAGUCCUCUCCCUGCUGUCCCCCAGCCUCUGCCUCUGUGAACCACGGCAAAAUGAUGUCGUGAUGAGAGUCAUCAUGGAAGUUAUGUUAAAUCAUAUCGUUUGAACACCCCACGGCCCAGGCAUGGGGUGGGUUCGUGUUCCUCUACUUCUGCCUUGGUUCUUCUCUUACU